rnacentral:rRNA from 1 species
AGGGCACCACCAGGAGUGGAGCCUGCGGCUUAAUUUGACUCAACACGGGAAACCUCACCCGGCCCGGACACGGACAGGAUUGACAGAUCGAUAGCUCUUUCUCGAUUCCGUGGGUGGUGGUGCAUGGCCGUUCUUAGUUGGUGGAGCGAUUUGUCUGGUUAAUUCCGAUAACGAACGAGACUCUGGCAUGCUAACUAGUUACGCGACCCCCCGAGUGGUCGGCGUCCCCCAACUUCUUAGAGGGACAAGUGGCGUUCAGCCACCCGAGAUUGAGCAAUAACAGGUCUGUGAUGCCCUUAGAUGUCCGGGGCUGCACGCGCGCUACACUGACUGGCUCAGCGUGUGCCUACCCUACGCCGGCAGGCGCGGGUAACCCGUUGAACCCCAUUCGUGAUGGGGAUCGGGGAUUGCAAUUAUUCCCCAUGAACGAGGAAUUCCCAGUAAGUGCGGGUCAUAAGUUUGCGUUGAUUAAGUUCCCUGUCCGUUUGGACACCCAGCCUGUGCCAUCUACUCACUUUA